GAUGAAGAACGUAGCGAAAUGCGAUAAGUAAUGUGAAUUGCAGAAUUCAGUGAAUCAUCGAAUCUUUGAACGCACCUUGCGCCCUUUGGCCAUUCCGAAGGGCAUGCCUGUUUGAGUAUCAUGAACACCUCAACUCUUUAUGGUUUUCCAUGAUGAGCUUGGACUCUGGGGGUUUUGCUGGCUCACAGUCGGCUCCUCUAAAAUGAAUCAGUUUACCAGUGUUUGGUGGGUAUCAUGGGUGUGAUAACUAUCUACGCUUGUGGUUUUUCCACCAGGUAACCUUCAGCAGUGGAGGUUCGCUGGAGCUCAUAGAUGUCUCUCCUCAGUGAGGACAGCCCUUUGAAUGUUUGAUCUCAAAUCAGGUAGGACUACCCGCUGAACUUAAGCAUAUCAUAAGCGGAGGA
rnacentral:misc_RNA from 1 species